GGGUGCGUGAGUGCGCACCCUCCACAACACAAGGGAUCGCCUGGGUACUCCCUGCCUGGGCGGUCCUUUU
rnacentral:sRNA from 12 species